GAGUACACGAAGGGUGACAGUAUCGCAGAACAAGCAGAUGCAUUCAAAACCAGUGUGAAUCUUGUCGCUCGUGUGGCCAACAGCAGAAUUUUACGUCUUUUUCAUGGCAGAUUGAAGGAUUUGUUGAGAAGUACAAGAAAAUGAAAGACAGGGCAGCUCUUUAGAAAGGCAGUUUACAUAAGUCCCUGUACAUUAAUACCAACAACUAAAAAUGUUGACAGUGAAUAGUGAACCUUUACUGCUGCAGAAAGUGAUGACCUUUGAAAGAUGGUGGUGUGUUUUAACAGAUGAACUUGAUCUCUGCAUUCAGAGAUCUGUGGAGAACAAGUCCUUUGAAGCUGAAAACUCACCUUAGAACAUAUAGGCCGCCCGCUGUGGCCGAGCGGUUCUAGGCGCUUCAGUCCGGAACCACGCAGCUGCUAUGGUCACAGGUUCGAAUCCUGCCUCAGGCGUGGAUGUGUGUGAUGUCUUUAGGUUAGUUAGGCUUAAGUAGUUCUAAGUCUAGGGGUCUGAUGACCUCAGAUGUCAAGUCCCAUAAUGCUUAGAGCCAUUUGAACCAUUUUUGAACAUGCAAUUAGCAAUUCAUUGUGAAGUAAAUUUGCAGAUUUGUUCCACAAACUUGAACCAUUUAGUUACGUAAAAGGCUUCAGUAAGGUCACAAAAUAUACCAGCAGGAUUAUUUUGGUUGUUUUUAGUUCUGCUAGGUUUUCAUUCAUAAGGGUAUAUGGUGGCUGCUACAUGUGAAACUCAAAAGUAUUUAGCAAAUUUUGUUUGAGUUAAGGACUGAUUAUGAAUACGGCUCAAGGUUAAUUGUAUCAACCUUUCACAAGAUUUUACUAAUCUGCUAGAAACACUGUCAUGGAAAAAUAUUGCUGCUUUUAGCAACUUGAUGGUAUUUUUAAUUCCCUUUGGUCUUGCAUAUUUGAUAUUAACGAUGUUUGGUGAUGUAAAAAGUAUUGAAUUAUCAAUUUCACGGCUGAAAUGCCACAAUUAUUAAAAUAUUUCUGGCUAUUAUUCUGUGGUUUUUCCUGAUUUCUUUGAUGACUUGUGGCAUAUAAGUUCUUGUAUUCCAUUUGGAACUAAUUAAAGAAUGGAAACUCCAGGUAGGAAUAUCAACAAUUCAGGAAAAGGUAGAUUGCUACUCACUGUAAAGGAGACACGUUAAGUUGCAGACAGGCAUAAUUAAUAUGCAAGUUAAUGUGUCUUCUUUAUGGUAAGUAGCAAUUUGUUUUUUUCUGCAGCAUUAAUUGUUUGUAGAAUGCAAAGGUUACAAUAUUUACACUGUAACCAAAGGAGUAAGCGACCGUUUUCUUCAAAGUGAAAGUGC